AUUGAACGCUGGCGGCAGGCUUAACACAUGCAAGUCGAACGAGUGGCGGACGGGUGAGUAAUGUCUGGGAAUCUGGCUGAUGGAGGGGGAUAACGACUGGAAACGGUAGCUAAUACCGCAUACCAUCGGAUGAGCCCAAGUGGGAUUAGCUAGUGGGUGGGGUAAUGGCUCACCUAGGCGACGAUCCCUAGCUGGUCUGAGAGGAUGACCAGCCACACUGGAACUGAGACACGGUCCGGACUCCUACGGGAGGCAGCAGUGGGGAAUAUUGCACAAUGGGCGCAAGCCUGAUGCAGCCAUGCCGCGUGUAUGAAGAAGGCCUUCGGGUUGUAAAGUACUUUCAGCGAGGAGGCGUUACUCGCAGAAGAAGCACCGGCUAACUCCGUGCCAGCAGCCGCGGUAAUUC
rnacentral:rRNA from 1 species